CCUACGGGCGGCAGCAGUGGGGGAUAUUGCACAAUGGGGGAAACCCUGAUGCAGCGACGCCGCGUGUAGGAAGACGGUCCUCUGGAUUGUAAACUACUGUCCCCAGGGACGAAGAUGACGGUACCUGGGGAGGAAGCUCCGGCUAACUACGUGCCAGCAGCCGCGGUAAUACGUAGGGAGCGAGCGUUGUCCGGAAUUACUGGGGGAAAAGGGAGCGUAGGCGGGGGUGCAAGUUGGGUGUUAAAUCUACCGGCUCAACUGGUAGUCGCACUCAAAACUGCAGCUCUUGAGUGAAGUAGAGGCAGGCGGAAUUCCUAGUGUAGCGGUGAAAUGCGUAGAUAUUAGGAGGAACACCAGUGGCGAAGGCGGCCUGCUGGGCUUUUACUGACGCUGAGGCUCGAAAGUGUGGGGAGCAAACAGGAUUAGAUACCCCUGUAGUC
rnacentral:rRNA from 1 species